CAUAAUUCAGACACUGAAAAGCACAAUCAAUUAGAAUAACAAAGGAACAAAAUACUAUAGAGAUGUAGCAUAUAAAUUUACACUAACAUGGCAUUAUAUUGGGAGAUGCUUUCUUUUCUCUGUUCAGAGUAGGUGGAACAAACAUCUACUGUCCAGUUAGUUGGAUGAUCAUCUCUUUCUUUAAGCAAUUAAGCAAGGAUUGACAAAAUUGGUUGAUGAAAUGCUUACAAUCAGCUCCAAGAAUGGUAGUAUCAUGGUUUAUUGACAGUACAAUAUCUGUGUAUAAAGAUGAGUUCUAGCGUAGAAACGCCUAAAUGGAGUGUGUUUGAAGACGUGAAGAAUAUAUCUGCAGCUCCGGAGGCACUUAUGGCUGAUAUCAACGCUGCUAUUAGCGCCCUUGAGUAUGCUCGUGCUGCUGCUGCUGCUGCUACCUUCUUACACUCGUCUCCUUCCUCUUCGAAAGCAAAAACACUGAUCAAAAGUUGAUCCAUACGAUGCUGGAAUUAAGGCUGAUGAAGUCGAACCUAUAGCUUCAGCCAAACUCGAUGAGUCUCUUUGUUACACUUACGUGUGAAUAUCUCAUCUCGUUAGAGCCGGAUUGUGUUGUUGUUCAUUCUACCAUUUAGUUCUAGUGUUGGCUUUGAUAGACUGGAAACUUGAUCAAGAGAUGUUGAAGAUUAGGAACAUAUGUUGGAGUUGAUAAUGUUCUAGGCUAAUUUCUAUGUGAUUUUGUUGAAGAAACCGAAAACAGAGUAGAUAAACAUUUAUGAGAAGUACUUUGCAUUCAAAAGAUGAUUGCUUUCAUUAGAAGAAAAGCUAUCUUUCGAAA